ACCUUAGAGACCAACUAAAUUUGUUCUUGGUAUAAGCUUUUGUGUGCAUGCACACAAAGUAGUAUCUGAAGUAUCUGAAGUAGUGUGCAUGCACAUGAAAGCUUAUUCCAAGAACAAACUUAGUUGGUCUCUAAGGU